CACGUAGGGCGCAAGCGUUGUCCGGAAUUAUUGGGCGUAAAAGAGCUCGUAGGCGGUCUGUUGCGUCCGCUGUGAAAACUCGGGGGCUUAACCCCCGAGCCUGCAGUGGAUACGGGGCAGACUAGAGGGUAGGUAGGGGGAGAUCGGAAUUCCCUGGUGUGCGGGUGAAAAUGCGCAGAUAUCAGGAGGAACACCGGUGGCGAAGGCGGAUCUCUGGGCCGAUACUGACGUGAGGGAGCGAAAAGCAUGGGGGGAGCGAAACAGGG
rnacentral:rRNA from 1 species